UGCGUUUAGACAAGUUUUGUUUUGUGUAGACCUUUGGUCCUCGCUGUAGACUUAUCGUCUCCUUCGUCUCCCGAUAUCAGAGAAACGGAACCAUCAGAUUUGAUCAUCUCAUUAAACGAUCACCACGAUGUAGAAUCAAUGCGAGAAUUAAUUUUCGACUGGCGAUGGAUACGAGUAUAAGAAGGCCGGCCGAUCCUCUUCCACCGUCGAAGUCCGCUUGCUCCGCUUCUGGGAGGCGAAGAACGUCCGCCGUGGUGGGGAGCUCAUGGGCGUCGACAUGCUUUUGGUUGAUUCUCAGGUUUCGUGUUAACACCCCCCUUUUUUGUUUAGUUAGACCGCCGGAAUGUUCCACCACUAUGAGCCUGCUCUAAUCCAUUAUAUCAUUAGCAGUGUCUGUUUGUAUUAAUCUCCUUUUUUUUUGAUUCCACCCCGAUCGAUUAUUAUUUUGAGAAGUCGAUGUCGUCAUGUUGUGUGUUCUUGCUGUCUGAAUAAAGCUUUCCAGUUUGCAUCUUCGCGCAUGAGAGAUUAAUUAUUGAGAGACCAAAUCGUUUUGGCCGUAGGUGAUACCUAAAUUUAUGUGGUUCUUUGUCUUCUUCGUUCUCUGGUGAUAAAAACAACAAUCUUUGAGUGAAGCUCCGACUGCGUCGUUUGGUAUUCGAUUCAUCGCCGUUAUCAAACAUUUUAACUCCAUCGAUCCACAUCCAGCACGAUCUGACAUUCAAUGCAAAUUAUCCCACUGAGAGUCGUGUAUCUCCACCUAUAAAAAGGGUUCGUGUCUACUGCAAGCUCUGAUUAGGUCAAGCAACAAUGGAGGUUAUAAAAGGAAGCAUUGAUUCGUCGCCACUAACAACCUUCUUAAUAUUUCCAGAAUGGAAACCUCCGAGGAAGAAGUUCAUUGUGAGCUUCACAACCUUGAUUUGAGUAUGGUUGUGGCGGUGAUGAGACUGAAGCGAGCCAUAGAGUCCAUUGAAGGAAAGAUCAAAACUUUGCAGAGAUGGGAGAUUUUCAAAGAGAUCGUUAAAACUCAAAUCAGGGAAUCUGUUGCUGAUGUCAACCUUUGUGUAGCCGUCGUGGUGCCUUCUUGUGGCGAGCGUCAAGAUAGGGUAAAGCUAUCCGAUAUGUCCGUCGUUUCUGGUGGUUCACUGUUAUACUCCCACGAUCAGUUCUGUUUUCAACUCCAUAAAAUGGAAUCAAACGAAUUUAGUUGUAGCGAAGUCGCGAGAUGAUAAGAAGAUAUACAUAUGUGGCAAAAAGAUGAGAAUUGUAUGGGAACAGUUCCGGUUGCUGGAAAGGACAGUGGUGAAUGAUGAUACUGCCGAUGAUAUCAAUUACAACAUAUUUCAUAAAUGGGAGCGAAAAAAGAUCUGUUGUGGUGAGGUUACAAAGGGAAUCUGUUUUUAGAAAGCAUCAUGUCCCUACAAUUGGUCGUAUUACCCUGCUGUAGAUAGGGUUGGAGACUUGGAGAUGAUAAAGCAUAAAAGUUCAUCCUCUAGCAAGGUAGUUUAGUAACCAUGUUCUUAUGAUCAUAUCUAUCUUCUACACCAUUACGGUCCCCUUUUAAGGUAUUGUUUUCUCUUUGAAAAAUCAGGUCGUGGUUGUUCACAACAGAAAAGUUAUAACAUAUAUAGUCAUGGAUCGCAUUGUUUGGCUUGAACGUGGGUUCUCUAGAUAAUAGAUAUUAUAUAGUAAUCGUAGAAGUGUAGAACUUAUAUCUCACUCUAAUUAUUAUUGUUUGAUAGCGCAAAGGGCAUGACGCGUAUGAGUUUUGUAUUUAACAACCAGGUACAGACCAAAAUGUAUAUAUACGAACAGAUUCAGGGGUUCAGCACAAAAGAGAAUCCUCAAUGACCAUGUUAGUCUUUACUCUUU